CGGAAGUUUCCUUUUGAACUUGAGUUCUGGGGGAGAAGUCCUUCAUCAAGCUAUAUGAAUUGCACUCUAGAAAUCAAUCCAGAUGUGACAAGCCUACAGGAGUACUGCAAGAACAGCCAACAUAAAAAUGUUCAGUAAAAUUGUUCAGAAGUAAAAGAGUCCCUGAGUGCACUGUCCAAGCCAUUGUGCUUCACUCCAUGUAGCCAAGAUGGGUCAUUGAUCUUCUGACUUCCCCAGCAAUGUUGACAGGCUUCUCACCGUUUUCGUAGAGCAGCAAUCAUCUGAGAAUUAACACCUGCCUACCACUAUAUUCUUGAGGACUUUUUUGCACAUACCAAGUCCCAUCUUGUUAGUCAUCCAUGUCUCGAUUUUUUUUUCACAUGAAUGGGUUUAUGUGUGACAUCCAUUAAGAAAACUACAGGGUAUAAAGUGCUGGGAAAAAAAUAAAAAAGACUAAUGUUGCCAAUGUGUUUCUAACUUCAGCAAGUCUUUAUUGAUGCUUCAUUAGUAACAUACAGAGACAUAAAGAAGGUGUGAGCUGGGCUUGGCAACAUAUUACUGACUGUCUUUAUCAUAUAUAAAAAACAGGCUUUGCAUAAAGAGAAAGCAUCAUGUUAAAUCUAUGUUCAAAAUUAUUCCUCUCAUUCCACACCCCUUCUCCCUGAGCCCCAACAUUUCUUCUUCAAAAGAUAAAUGUGAAGGUCAGGAGUAAAACUGAAACAAUCAGCCCAUUUCUACUGUGGCAAAAAAAAAAAAAAAAAAAAACAUAAAUGUUUCCAGGGAAAAUAGAGUGAAGACAAGGUUGAAAUUUCCAAUCUGAGGGCUGAUGUGCAAGGCUGCCAGCAUGGAUUACAGUCAUGAAAAAGACUGAUGCAUUUAGUGUCUCAUCAUGUAGAAGGACCCAUCUGUAUCAUUGGACUCCAGUGGACACUGUCAGUAGCCCUAAGACACAGCCAAGCAAAUUCCCUUGCAAGUCUAGUUCAUGACCGCUCCUUGAAAUGAAAUGAAAGUGGCUGUGCAGGAGUGGAAGGAGUUCAGCAAUAUGUAUUACAGAGAGCCAGGCCAUAGACAACUGCAUUCUGUUACAAUGAUAGGCUCUGGUUUUAUGUGUAUUGCCUUGGACAAAUCACCCCCACUCAUUUUCACAUGCAGCUUCAGGGACAGAGGAACAUUGCUUCAGCUCUGCUUUUGUGCACUUAAUAGUUGUGGACAAAGGAGUCGGCAACUUGAAAUUAAGCCUGUAAAAAGGAUGGUGCCCAACGCUCUACAUUCUGGUCUGGACUGGCUCAUUCACACUGUUUCCUUGGGCUCAUCAUAACCCACGAUAACUCUGGGAAAGUUGGAAAAACUGCCCUUUCUCAGGCCACAACAGCAGAAACCUCCAAGAGAUUAAGCUGCUGAUUCUUCCUUCAGUCUACUGAAAAUGGAGACAACUCCCACAGCAAAAUGCACGUUAAAUCAUAUAUUCCUCUGAAAGUAGUAGUUCUCCAGUCCUACCUUCCCCUCAUCUACCAUCUGGUUCAAAGACAUAGACAUAGCACACUGCCUUCAGAUUUAAGACAAACUAUUUUAUGAAGAGCAUAAGACAAUGAAGCAUUGGCCACUGUUGGCUUUGAUUAGUUAUUUCAUUCUUUACUAAAGUUUACAUGCUGAAAUUAAAACUGCAAAGCACAAGGGGAAAAAUAACAGUUACUUAUAUACCAAGAUCUUUAAUCUGAAAACAUGAAAGAAAUAUUUAUUUACAAUUUUGAUAUUGAGUAGUGCUUAAAAAAAAAAAAAUCACCUUGCUUGAAGGUAUUCUGUUGAUUUAUUUAUAUUCCUAUUGCUACUUUCUUUAUAAACAUGGCACUGGAGCCACCACUGGUACUCCUCUGCGUUAUUGGUGUGAGCAGUAGGAGUAACACACUUCCAGUUAGCACCUGUUGGAAUGAUUACAAAGAGGCAGGCAGUCUGUGAAUUAAGUCUCAUACUUCUGUUUGUUGGUAUUUUUUUUUCAACUUCACACAUCUCUUUUUAGCAUAUUUCCUUCCUUUCUUGAACUACGUCCAAGAACUUCACAUAAAUGGAAUAAUCCACGGAUGCUAAAUACUGAAAUGUAAACAUACAAACACUGUGAUUAGUUCCUCAAACUCUGAUGAAAGCUGUUGUGUGUUUUUUGAAGAUUAUUAAAAAUAAACAUCUUACAAAAGACAUUUACAAUUUGCCACCUUUGAUUCCCACUCCUACCUCACUGAUUUUUUUUGGCAGCAGCCAGUGCAAUGGAGAUGUGGAAGAGCAGAUAUUGCUUAAGGGAAUUACUCUUUUUUUCCUAGAUUACAAAUGACACCAUGUUGCAAAACACAACUAAAAUGAGAUUUCUUAAUAAGACAGGUCAAGCAGAAGUUCUAAAAUCUGUUUUCUUUCCUUACCAAAGAAGAAAUGGGUUCAGCUCGUAUCCAAGACACAGAGAGUAUUAAAGUCCAGGACUUGCUUGAGCCCUUCCUGUUCGUUUUCAUUUUAUUUUAUUUUAUUUUAUUUUAUUUUAUUUUAUUUUAUUUUAUUUUAUUUUUGCUUCAGCAUAUAUAAUAAGAAACUCAGCUACUGCUGUGAGUAUCAGUAAAUGACAACCUGCUAAAUACUGUGAAUCACAUGUUUUAAAAAAUGGAACAAACCAAUACUGCAUUAGUUUUGGUUUGGCACAGCUCCAUUAUGGCCGCUGCUUUCGGGUGGAAGGCAGUUUGGAGAGCUGCCAGCAGCACUGCUAAAGCAAACAAGCCAUAAAAUCUAGCACACAGUGGGAAAGAACAAAAUUAUUUUGGCAAGAAAAUGCUGUCAGCAACAACACAGCAUCCUCACAUACAAUUUUAAACACCCCUACAUUAUCGCGUAACACUUUAAAACUCUUUAACACAGUAUAAACUUGUCCAUCUUAAAUAACAAAAUUAACAGCUGACAGCUUUUUCCAUUAUUGCUUCUUUCCCACAUAUUCAUUAGUGCUGUCUGACAUUCCUUGUUAAGUACAUUCCCCAGAGUGACAAAUGUGUCUAGUAGUGUGCAUGCUUAAUACACUACGGUAACAAAACUCUUCUUAGGUUUUUCCAUGUACUAACUGCCUUUCCAAAUUGAUUUAUAGCUUUUGCCAGAGGUGUUUUAUUCAUGCUACGUGGAAUGCAGAGAAGCCAUGUAGUUAACUACCCAUGAAAACGCUAACAGUUGCAGAAAAAAACAUUUGCAAAACAUAAAAGAGGAAUACUGGUUGCCUGUCCAACACUUACAGAAGUGACUUUACUGUUGCUACCAAGCCAGGGUAGUCAAUACAAGCAUUCAAUUAUUUUCAUCUCUGCAUAUGGUGCAAGACUAAUUAUUCCACCUCUGUCUCCUUAUAGAUCCACUAUGAAAUUCCAGUCAGAGAUCCAUAGUCAGAUGUAACCAAGCAGUAUUUCAUGCAUGCUAUCAUUUGUCUUAAAAUUACAGUUCUAAAGUGCAAGAUUUAUCAGUGCUAUUAUUGUUCCUGUAAACAACUCAAAACCCCUUUCAAAUAGAAUUCUUAUCUCUCUUUCAUUGGUCAGUCAUGUACUUCGAUAAUCGGUGUGGAGUGAUCAUUAGCCAAACCGGAUCAGAGUACAAUAGUACCCCACAUACUUCUA
ensembl:lncRNA